UUUUUUUUUCCCUGGCUUAUUAUUAAUUAUUAAUUAUUAUUAUUUUUUUUUUAUUAUUAUUAUUAUUUCUAAAAUCUCCCUGCGUUUUUUUUUAGGAACUGAUCGUCGAGAUGUGAUUAACAAAAAUAAUUCAACCUUCUCCCAAUAACUUACAGGAGUUCACCCAGGGGGAACUUUUUUGUGCUUAUUUUUGUUUUUUUGGGGUCAAGCUCUCUGACCCCAAAAAACCCCAGGGGGGGUUUUGGGGGGGACCCUCAGCCCCCUCCUGCCUGUACAACUUUGGUCACUAGCGCUGUGUCACCCCAAAAUCCAGACCCCAAAAUCCAGGCCUCAAAAUCAGACCCCAAAAUCCAAACCUCAAAGUCCAGACCCCAAAAUCCAGAUCCCAAAAUCAGACCCCAAAAUCAGACCCCAAAACCCUGACCCCAAAAUCAGAACCCAAAAUCCAAACCCCAAAUCCUGACCCCAAAAUCCCCGGGCCAGCGGGGACAGGGCUGGGAUUUCUCCAGGAAACCCCAAAACCACCGGAGUGGGCUCGGGAUUCCCGUGCCAGGAUAUCCCAAAAUGGGGCAGGAGACCCCAAAGGGCCGAGGAGACCCCAAAAGUUUGGAAUUCCCGUCCCAAAAUGGGGCUGGAGACCCCAAAAGUUUGGAAUUCCUGUCCCAAAAUGGGGCUGGAGAUCCCAAAGAGAUGGAAUUCCCAUUCCAGGGAUGCCAAAGUUUUGGGGUGUCCAUCGUGAGGGUCCUGGCAGGGUUGGGGGGCCCAUUGUGGGAUUCCUGGAAGGGUUGGAGUUCCUGGAAGGAUUGGGAUGGACCCUGGAAGGGUUGGGAUGUCCAUCCUGAGGGUCCUGGAAGGAUUUGGAUUGGGAUGUCCAUCCCAGAUUUCCCGGCAGGGUUGGGAUUUCCAUCCCAGAUUUCCUGGCAGGGUUGGGAUUUCUAUCCCAGAUUUCCAUCCCAGAUUUCCCGUCAGGAUUGGGAUUUCCAUCCCAGAUUUCCAUCCCAGAUUUCCCGUCAGGAUUGGGAUUUCCAUCCCAGAUUUCCAUCCCAGAUUUCCCGUCAGGGUUGGGAUUUCCAUCCCAUAUUUCCAUCCCAGAUUUCCCGUCAGGAUUGGGAUUUCCAUCCCAGAUUUCCAUCCCAGAUUUCCCGUCAGGGCUGGAAUUUCCAUCCCAGAUUUCCAUCCCAGAUUUCCCGUCAGGGCCGGAAUUCCCACCCCGAGGGUCCCCGCGGCGGCACGCCGAGACCCGAAGCUCCCUGAGGCGCCGGCGGUGCCGGCGGUGCCGCGUCCAU
rnacentral:lncRNA from 1 species